rnacentral:lncRNA from 1 species
UGGAAACCAACCAAUGCCUAAAUCCAAACUCAUGCUGGCUUAAAGACUCUCCAGCUGCAACCAAUAAGAGUGUGAUGACUCAUGGGCCAUGUAGUCCCGUUCCUAGUACUGUUGUGACAGAUGAAGAGGAAAACUUGGGUUUCCCACCGUUUCUGCCGGAUUUGGAGCCCUUGCAGCUGCAGGAUGUUUGCCCACAAGAAGUCAGCCAAACAAGCCUUGAGCAGAAAUCUCCCCCAUUUUCUCGCCGUCUUUAUUAUAAUCAAGAUAGAAGCGCUCGGGAGGCGACUCGCCGGAGCGCCAGGAUAGCUGCCAGACAAUUAGAUGAUUAAGUCUGUUUCCCUUGGGAAAGUUUAAGGAGUCCUGCAUCUGGACACAGAAUAGGUUUCGUUUCUUGUUCCCCAGAGAAAGUGUUCUUUGGCGGGAAAACAAGAUCCUAUAUAGGUGUUUGGCCACAAAGGAAUCCUUGCGGAGUCAAUUCGUCAGCUUCGGGAGUAGAUUGUGUGUGGACUACGCUACUCCAGUUUCCAGGACCUUGCUCUCGUUCCAGCCCUGCCUUGUUCCCCGGACCUCGCCACGGAUUUCGCCACGGACCCUAUUCUUGUUCCUCGUUUCUUGUUGCCUUGAAUCAAGCCUUGUGUGCCAAGAAUCUAGUUUGCUCUCCAGGACCUUGCUCUCGUUCCAGCCCUGCCUUGUUCCCCGGACCUCGCCACGGAUUUCGCCACGGACCCUAUUCUUGUUCCUCGUUUCUUGUUGCCUUGAAUCAAGCCUUGUGUGCCAAGAAUCUAGUUUGCUCUCCAGCCUUGCAUCAAGUUCCAUGGACUAAAAAGGACCUUGUCAUUUCCCCUCACUUUGCUUGGCAAAGUGUGUGUUUCAGUUAUUGGAUUACAACUUUGGACUUUAAUAUCACAUAUUGGACAUUGUUUUUCUGGACUAUAUUUGACCUUUCCUGAAAGGUCUACUCCUGAACUAUAUUCUACACUUGUUUUUACUGACUUUAUAUAUUCCCUUAAUAAAGAUAUUAGAUAGAUUCUGGUCUCUGCGCAUGGUUAUUGGUGCUCUGCAGCCUGG